UUGUAGUUGGACCAUAACACUUAUUAACCUUUUUGGUAGAUUUUGGUUUAAGUUUGUAUUUCUCAGAUGUGAGAUUAUGAACAAAGCUUGUACAUCCAAACACUCGUGGAGGAAGAGGAAAAGGAUUUUGAUAUAGAUAAAAGAAUUGAAUAAGGACUCUUAUGCUAUAAGACAAAAGAAGGCAUUCAAUUAAUUAAAUAAUAGGCAAUAAAAAUAGCAUUGCCCCAAAAACAAAGGGGAAUAUUAUUAUGGAGUAAUGUGUGGGUUGUUUCAAUUAGACGUCUAUUUAUGCUUAGCUACUUCAUUUUGUUGAGAAGUAUGAGCGUAAGAAGACUGAUGAAGAAUUUUCUGGGAAGACAUGAAUGAGGAGAAAGAAGUUGAAAAAUAUUAUUUAGCAUUAUCACUGAUUAAUUUCUUGAUCAGUGA
rnacentral:misc_RNA from 1 species